rnacentral:rRNA from 1 species
CGUGUAGGCGGUCCGGUAAGUCCGCUGUGAAAGUCGGGGGCUCAACCCUCGAAUGCCGGUGGAUACUGUCGGGCUAGAGUGCGGAAGAGGCGAGUGGAAUUCCUGGUGUAGCGGUGAAAUGCGCAGAUAUCAGGAGGAACACCUAUUGCGAAGGCAGCUCGCUGGGACGUAACUGACGCUGAGACGCGAAAGCGUGGGGAGCAAACA